GCCUCCGUAGCUCAGUUGGUAGAGCAGUUGACUCUUAAUCAAUUGGUCCUAGGUUCGAGUCCUAGCGGGGGUACCA
rnacentral:tRNA from 2 species